AUUGAACGCUAGCGGCAUGCCUAACACAUGCAAGUCGAACGAGUGGAGGACGGGUGCGUAAUAUAUCGGAACGUGCCCAAUCGCGGGGGAUAACUACUAGAAAGAGUGGCUAAUACCGCAUACUAUUGGAUCGGCCGACAUGGGAUUAGCUAGUUGGGGGGGUAAAGGCUCACCAAGGCAAAGAUCCGUAGCUGGUCUGAGAGGAUGACCAGCCACACUGGGACUGAGACACGGCCCAGACUCCUACGGGAGGCAGCAGUGGGGAAUUGUGGACAAUGGGCGAAAGCCUGAUGCAGCCAUGCCGGGUGUAUGAGAAGGCCUUCGGGUUGUAAAGUACUUUUGGCAAAGAAGCGGUAUCUGCAGAAAAAGCACCGGCUAACUACGUGCCAGCAGCCGCGGUAAUAC
rnacentral:rRNA from 1 species